rnacentral:rRNA from 1 species
UACGGAGGAUGCAAGCGUUAUCCGGAAUGAUUGGGCGUAAAGGGUCUGUAGGUGGUUGUUCAAGUCUGCUGUUAAAGCGUCUGGCUUAACCAGAUAAAGGCGGUGGAAACUGAACGACUAGAGUGCGGUAGGGGUAGAGGGAAUUCCCAGUGUAGCGGUGAAAUGCGUAGAUCUUGGGAAGAACACCUGUGGCGAAAGCGCUCUACUGGACCGCGACUGACACUCAUGGACGAAAGCUAGGGGAGCGAAUGGG